GGGUCAGUAGGUUGGUCGUGCCACCGGUACGUACUGGUCUCACUGAUUCCUCCUUCCUGAAGAACCGUAAUGCCAUUAAUUUGGUGUUGCGGGGAAACAGGACUGUUACUUUGAAAAAAUUAGAGUGUUUAAAGCAAGCUAACGCCUGAAUACACUAGCAUGGAAUAAUGAAAUAGGACGAUCGAUCCUAUUUUGUUGGUUUCUAGGAUUGACGUA
rnacentral:rRNA from 1 species